rnacentral:rRNA from 1 species
UACGAAGGGGGCUAGCGUUGUUCGGAAUCACUGGGCGUAAAGCGCUCGUAGGCGGAUCUUUAAGUCAGAGGUGAAAUCCCAAGGCUCAACCUUGGAACUGCCUUUGAUACUGGGGAUCUCGAGUCCGGGAGAGGUGAGUGGAACUGCGAGUGUAGAGGUGAAAUUCGUAGAUAUUCGCAAGAACACCAGUGGCGAAGGCGGCUCACUGGCCCGGUACUGACGCUGAGGAGCGAAAGCGUGGGGAGCAAACAGG